rnacentral:rRNA from 1 species
GAUGAACGCUGGCGGCGUGCCUAAUACAUGCAAGUCGAGCGAACAGAUGAGGAGCUUGCUCCUCUGACGUUAGCGGCGGACGGGUGAGUAACACGUGGAUAACCUACCUAUAAGACUGGGAUAACUUCGGGAAACCGGAGCUAAUACCGGAUAAUAUAUUGAACCGCAUGGUUCAAUAGUGAAAGACGGUUUUGCUGUCACUUAUAGAUGGAUCCGCGCCGCAUUAGCUAGUUGGUGAGGUAACGGCUUACCAAGGCGACGAUGCGUAGCCGACCUGAGAGGGUGAUCGGCCACACUGGAACUGAGACACGGUCCAGACUCCUACGGGAGGCAGCAGUAGGGAAUCUUCCGCAAUGGGCGAAAGCCUGACGGAGCAACGCCGCGUGAGUGAUGAAGGUCUUCGGAUCGUAAAACUCUGUUAUUAGGGAAGAACAAAUGUGUAAGUAACUAUGCACGUCUUGACGGUACCUAAUCAGAAAGCCACGGCUAACUACGUG